CUCGGUGACGAUGGCGGAGAGGUCACACCCGUUCCCAUCCCGAACACGGAAGUUAAGCUCUCCAGCGCCGAUGGUAGUUG
rnacentral:rRNA from 1 species